rnacentral:ncRNA from 1 species
GGGGGACGACCCUCCGGGAUCGGCUUUCAGGAGCAGGUCUCAAACAAGUCCGAGCUGCUGCGGUAAAGAGCCGUGGUGGUGAGCGUCGGAUGAAAAGUUCGGUCGAGAUCCGAGCAGGU